CUUAUAGUAUGUUUACAUAUGAAAAUAAUCUCGUUAUAAUCUCGAUUAAUAAUCUAACCGUUUACAUACCGGAACGAAUAAAUAUUUAUAAUUACGUUGAAACCCUCAAAAAAGGAUAAAUUAAAAAAUAUUAAAGAUAUGGAAGGAACGCAAUUGUAUACUUGAUUGCGCAGAUUGCUGCCAGUAGUAAGAAGUUGGCAAAAAUACGGAAAAGACGACAACUCAGAUUGAUUAAGAUAUUAACAGAAAUACACAAGCGAAACGCGUUAUUGCUUUUUGUAAUUAAUAACAUUAGAUCAAAACGUUUGUGGAAACACGAAAGAUAAGGUAAUUUUUGAGAGCUCGACGUUGCUUACAAUAGUGACAAAUUCUUCAAGGAGAGCUUCAGGAUGAGCCGGGAAUCAUUCACAAUUUUAUGUAAUGAGCUAUCACACAUUGUCAAACAUAAUACUACAUACAGGGAAUGUAUUCCAUUAGAAAAAAGAAUGGCUAUCGCUUUGUACACCCUUGGUUCUUCUGCUGAAUAUAGAACAAUUGGGAGACUAUGCGGGAUUUCCAAAACGUCUGUAUGUUGUAUUCUUAAAGAUUUUUGUCGAGGAGUGUGGGACAAAAUCUCGUCUAAAUAUUUAACCAGCUCAUUUCUCACGCAAGAAAAAAUUACGGAGUGCGUUGAAGGGUUUACAAAGAUUGGAUUUCCACAAUGCCUGGGUGCAGUAGAUGGAUGCCAUGUUGAUAUUAGUCCCUCCGCAUCUGAUGCUGUUGACUAUUUCAACUACAAAGGUUGGUACUCAAUGGUUUUACUAGCCUUCGUAGACUACAGAUAUAGAUUUAUGUACAUUAAUGUUGGAGCACCUGGUCGUUGUAAUGAUUCUCAAAUAUUUCAAAAAUUCAACUUGAAAAGAAUUUUGAAAAACCCUCUGCUUAAAGAGAAUGCAAAAAAAAUGGUGAAACUAAUGUCCCAAAUGUAGUUCUUGGGGACUCAACAUUUCGCUUUUCUCCGUUUCUAAUGAAGCCCUAUUACAAAAAUAUUUUUAAUUACCACUUAUCUAAAUCUCGAAGGGUUGUGGAAAACGCAUUUGGUCACCUAAAAGCAAGAUUUAGAAGAAUAGGGUUCCUCGACUGAAGGCAGAAAUUCUUCUUGCGAAUCUAUGGAAGAGUUAUUUGGAGAGAGCGUACACUCCACAACUUCGUAAACUGUAAUAAAUGAAAGUUUAUA